UCCAUUUAUACUCCAAUUACCUACGAAAAGAGAAGACGAAGAGGAAGACGAAACAGUUGAGAAAGAAGUUUUGACCAACUACGAAAGAUAUCCGAUUUCAGUGCCUUGAUUUCCGCAGGCUGCUUUGCUUGCUUAAUCCGCACUUUGUGUCCGAAACGCCACUUCAAGCCCCAGCGCAACGAAUACUCUUCUUCAUACCCAGACACCAUUGCUAACCCCUCCGAUGUCAUCCCGAUUUCGUCAAAUUUCAAGAGCUCGUGAACGAUCCCCAGAAACUGGUUUACAAGGGGAAAGAUGCAACAGAGGAAUACGUGGAGACGGAAUACUACAAAGAUCUCAACUGCGUAGACAAGCAACACCACAUGACUGGGACGGGAUUAAUUUCAAAAUUUCAAGCUUCCACUACUGCUGCUGCUAGGGCUUCCUCUAAACCCUUCGAAACCCCACUGCUGCUACUGCUAGGGUUGUGGCUGAGUUGAGUGUGGUGGUAUGAGCUCCCCACUGCUCCUGAUACUAUAGUUUUCUCUCCCCACUGCUGCUAGGGUGGCGGCUGAGCUGAGUACGGUGGUAUGAACUCCCCCUUGUAAGGGUUUCCAAUGAUGGAAAAUUUGUUUUUUUAAACAUUAAG